AUUGCACAGACAGAAUCGAUUGCUUUGCAGGGCCCAGGGGGGUAGGAGCCCAGGCCCUCCCUCCAGGAAAGAGAUGCACAGAAGAAUGGGAAUUGCACUAGGGACCUCUUCCUUUGCUGUGUGGACAGAAGAGCUCACGGUUGUAUUCAGGGAUUGCAAGGACCACAUUGACUACGUCACCGGUGGACAAGGGGGCUACAAGCCAUUUUGCACAAAUGUCUGCCCACUUGCUCCCUCUUCCAUCCAGGAGUGUGCAACUGAGAGGCUGGCUAGGCCAACCUGCCAGCUCAGGCAUGUGACCUGGCCUAACUGCAUGCCCAGGGCAUACUGCCAGGCUUCCAUGGGCCAGCCCUGCCUCCUACUCUACCUUGGAUUUUUCCCUCCAUCGUUUUUAUUUCUGACCCUUUGCCCCUCUCCACUCUUAAUACACCCCGUGCCCUGCAGGAGCCCCCUUGGUGCAUGGAUCUGCAGUGGUUAUCUCCUAUCCUCUGGAGCUUGAGUGGGGGUGUAGCGCCAGAGGGACUACCCUCGCCACCUUCCUCCCCAGGGCCCGGGCAGCCACGUGUUGAGAAACAAGCUGAUACAGGAGUGAGGCUGGGUGUGGCAGGGGCCGGAAAUCCUCAAAGCUUUCAUAAGUGGCCAGAGUGCCUGUCAUCAGCUCCUGAAUCAGGGAUUUUCAGCACUACCUCCAAGCAGUGGGGUUGGCUGCCCAGCCAGGCUUCUAAGGCCUGAGGACUUGUGGUCAGGCUCAGCAAGCUCCUGGGUAAAAAAGGUGGGAGGGAUUCUCCUCUUAGAAGCAGAGAGCCACACAGGUUGAAUUAUCCUCUCUCAGUAGCCAAGUGCAGGGCCUCAGCUCCAGGCCCGUGAGGACCACCACUCAGGGUUCAGGGCGGGCAGGAGGGCAGUUUCUCCAGCCUCCCCAGUCUGUUGGGCAGAAGGUAGUGGUGUCUUUAUAGGAAACUCUUUCAGGUCAGGGCACCGAUUUUCCUCUUGGUUUAUUAUUUGGGGGAAUAGGGUGGGGUGGUAAUAGUAUUUUACCAGGGUGCUUCUAAGUUACUUUUAAAAAGUCUACGAAACAUUUAUUUGCUUGCAUUCACAACUGUGAUGGUCCCACGGCUGCCUUCUCCUUGGGCAGGUAUGUUCUCCCCUAGUCCUCUUCUGCUGGCCCAUCUGACCUCCAUGGUUAGGGUAUUUUUCACUUGUAAACAAAUGCCAAGUUGUUUAAUAGGAAUGCCAGCAAGUAACCUAUGAGGAAAGAUUGGGGGGCCACAUUAGCUUCAGGGCGUCUGGGAGUGUUUAUCACCAUUGUGGGUCCUUUCUGAUACUUCAAGGGUGACUCCAAGCAGAGUGGGUCAGUCCUGGCAGGCCUGGACCAUCUGGUGUUCACAAGUGUGACAGGGACUAGCUCUGGAUUUCUUAGGUAGGAGGGCAUAUUUAGGUUUUAGGGCACUUCUGAACCUCAAUCCCUGGACAAGGCAGUCCUCACAUAAGAACAUCUACCUUCUCCACCUGGUGGCAUGGGAGGGUAGAGAGUGGAAUGUGGGUUCAUUUGGCCUUGCUUUAUACAGGGUGAGCCCAGUUUGUUUUCCCUCUCCAUUUUCCCUAAUUCCAUGAAAAGGACAUAAUCCAAAUUCCUUUCACUGGAGAAUCAGCCAGUCUGAAGGGAAGUGGGAGGCAAGAGAUGAGAAUCCUCUGAAAAGAUUGUGAAAUACUGAUUUUCAUUCUUUCAAGCUUAUUUGUAAAUACCUAUUUGAAUGCUGUGUAUUUGUACAGGAAUUUGAGCAAAAAAUGUAUAGAGUGUGAUGUCCAAUUGGUAUUCAGCCCUAUAUAAAUGUGUUUUUAACCUCUGGCAUUCUGUGCUUAUUUAAAAUAAGAAAACUUCUAACCAUUUCUUUUGUGUAUUUAUGUUUAAAAUAAGAAGUGACUUAAAAAUGGUCUUACCUGUACCAGAAAGCAAAGUUAAAGAAAAAAAAAUUUGUACUGGUGUCCCAAAAGGUAUUUUACUGUAUAUAUUGUGGUAGCAUGUUCUAAAUCCAACAAGUAAUGUGAAUUUUAAAUGUACAUAUCUGCCACCUUAUUUCCCCCCUUUCCCCACUCCUUUGACUGCUGUGAUGUGAAUUAAAGAUGAAUACC
rnacentral:lncRNA from 1 species